GGGGCAUGUCUAGUAUAGCAUUAUACCGUGAAACUGCGAAUGGCUCAUUAAAUCAGUUAUCGUUUAUUUGAUAGUACCUUACUACUUGGAUAACCGUGGUAAUUCUAGAGCUAAUACAUGCUGAAAACCCCAACUUCGGGAGGGGUGUAUUUAUUAGAUAAAAAACCAACGCCCUUCGGGGCUUCUUGGUGAUUCAUGAUAACUUUACGGAUCGCAUGGCCUUGCGCCGGCGACGGUUCAUUCAAAUUUCUGCCCUAUCAACUUUCGAUGGUAAGGUAUUGGCUUACCAUGGUUUCAACGGGUAACGGGGAAUUAGGGUUCGAUUCCGGAGAGGGAGCCUGAGAAACGGCUACCACAUCCAAGGAAGGCAGCAGGCGCGCAAAUUACCCAAUCCCGACACGGGGAGGUAGUGACAAUAAAUACUGAUACAGGGCUCUUUUGGGUCUUGUAAUUGGAAUGAGUACAAUUUAAACCUCUUAACGAGGAACAAUUGGAGGGCAAGUCUGGUGGACAUUCAGCUCCCACUUUGCUGACGCCAGAGAUAGUCGGGCAUCUUUCGAGGUGUUACGCCGGCUAGUCGAUGUACCUACUAAAAUGAUGGGGAGGUACCGGCAAGACAACCUGGAUCGGGGAAGGCUAAGGCAUUCAAGCAAUGCUAUGCUAAUCCCGAGCAGAGCUACUGUAGAGCGAUUUACAGAUAGCCUGUGUAGAGCACGGAAAGGUGUCGGCCAACUCAAGUAGUUGGCUUAAGGGACGUGCCAUUCUCAUCUGAAAAGGUGGCUGUCAGCAAUAGCGCCCAUCACGCGAAGGCUGACAGGUUCAAGCGUACACGUUUGAAGUUAAAUAGGCCAGCAGCCGCGGUAAUUCCAGCUCCAAUAGCGUAUAUUAAAGUUGUUGCAGUUAAAAAGCUCGUAGUUGAACCUUGGGUCUGGCUGGCAGGUCCGCCUCACCGCGUGUACUUGUCCGGCCGGGCCUUCCUUCUGGAGAACCUCAUGCCCUUCACUGGGCGUGUUGGGGACCAGGACUUUUACUUUGAAAAAAUUAGAGUGUUCAAAGCAGGCCU
rnacentral:rRNA from 1 species